rnacentral:lncRNA from 1 species
AAAUCAAAAAAUUAGACGAAAGCCCCAAAUUUGCUCAGAAAUUUAAGCAGUGGUCGAAGUAGUGGUGCCUCUUUACAACUUCUUAGAGGAUGCUCAUGCAACUAAAAUUAGAAGAGUACAAAUUACUUUCAUUACUAGUGAUUUUGGGGUGAAAUUGAACUCAAACGAUCAGAGACAGAUUGAGAGAGAAGUUGGAAAAGAGUGUACUAGUGGUGUGCAGUCGGAGUGUGUGGGUGGUAUGCGGUCAGUGCUACUGGUGGUGUAUGGUCGGAGCUACUAGUGGUGUGUGGUGUAUGGACGGAGCCUACUGGUGGUGUUGGUCAUCGGAGCGUACUG